rnacentral:rRNA from 1 species
AUUGAACGCUGGCGGCAGGCCUAACACAUGCAAGUCGAGCGAGCGGCGCACGGGUGAGUAAUGUCUGGGAAACUGCCUGAUGUAGGGGGCUAACUACUGGAAACGGUAGCUCAUACCCCACACCAUCCGAUGUGCCCAGAUGGGAUUAGCUAGUAGGUGGGGUAACGGCUCACAUAGGCGACGAUCCCUAGCUGGUCUGAGAGGAUGACCAGCCACACUGGAACUGAGACACGGUCCAGACUCCUACGGGAGGCAGCAGUGGGGAAUAUUGCACAAUGGGCGCAAGCCUGAUGCAGCCAUGCCGCGUGUGUGAAGAAGGCCUUCGGGUUGUAAAGCACUUUCAGCGGGGAGGCGUUACCCGCAGAAGAAGCACCGGCUAACUCCGUGCCAGCAGCCGCGGUAAUAC